AUUGAACGCUGGCGGCAGGCCUAACACAUGCAAGUCGAGCGGAUGAAGGGAGCUUGCUCCUGGAUUCAGCGGCGGACGGGUGAGUAAUGCCUAGGAAUCUGCCUGGUAGUGGGGGAUAACGUCCGGAAACGGGCGCUAAUACCGCAUACGUCCUUAGGGAGCAAGUGGGGGAUCUUCGGACCUCACGCUAUCAGAUGAGCCUAGGUCGGAUUAGCUGGUUGGUGGGGUAAAGGCCUAGCAAGGCGACGAUCCGUAACUGGGCUGAGGGGAUGAUCAGUCACACUGGAAGUGAGACACGGUCCAGACUCCUACGGUGGGACGCAGUGGGGAAUAUUGGAGGAUGGGCGAAUGCCUGAUCCAGGCAUGCCGCGUGUGUGAAGAAGGUCUUCGGAUUGUAAAGCGCUGUAAGUUGGGAGGAAGGGCAGUAAGUUAAUACCUUGCUGUAUUGACGUUACCAACAGAAUAAGCACCGGCUAACUUCGUG
rnacentral:rRNA from 1 species